rnacentral:rRNA from 1 species
GAUGAACGCUAGCGAUAGGCCUAACACAUGCAAGUCGAGGGGCAUCAGGAUGUAGCAAUACAUUGCUGGCGACCGGCGCACGGGUGAGUAACACGUAUGCAAUCUACCUAUAACAGGGGCAUAACCCGGCGAAAGUCGGCCUAAUACCCCAUAACACAGGGAUGCCGCAUGGCAAUAUUUGUUAAAGAUUAAUCGGUUAUAGAUGAGCAUGCGUUCCAUUAGCCAGUUGGUAAGGUAACGGCUUACCAAAGCAACGAUGGAUAGGGGAACUGAGAGGUUUAUCCCCCACACUGGAACUGAGACACGGACCAGACUCCUACGGGAGGCAGCAGUGAGGAAUAUUGGUCAAUGGACGAGAGUCUGAACCAGCCAAAUCGCGUGAAGGAAGACUGCCCUAUGGGUUGUAAACUUCUUUUAUAGGAGAAUAAAAAGAACUACGCGUAGUUCAUUGCAAGUACCCUAUGAACAAGGAUCGGCUAACUCCGUGCCAGCAGCCGCGGUAAAAC